UUCCUCAGAUUCCCUCUUCAAACAAGGUCCACUAUCAGACCUUUAAAUUUUCACCUCUUAAUAUUUUUCUUGAACAAAGUAACUCCUUUUUCAUUAUGUGAAUCAAAACUAAUAUUUUUGAUCCAUCUUCUCAACAAGAAAACAACUCUAUUCAGAGGUUUCUCUAUCUCCAUAUGUGAAUAUGCAAAGAAAUCAGGUGUACAAAAUACCUAUCACGGUUGCCAAUGAUGUUAGUUUUAUUUCUCCACUUGUCCAAGUAGAUUUAUAUAUAUUUUAAAUUAUAUUAUUAUAAAUUUCUUAUACUUUCUGCUA